GGUCUAAUAGUGUAGUGGUUAGCACAUGGGAUUUUGAUUCUAAUCUAUUUCCCAUAACCCAGGUUCGAGUCCUGGUUAGACCU